GCGGGCGUGCUGGAACUGGUAGACAGGCACGGCUCAGAACCGUGUGCUCGAGAGAGCGUGGAGGUUCGACUCCUCUCGCCCGCA
rnacentral:tRNA from 1 species